rnacentral:rRNA from 1 species
GUUGUAUGGUUAAGUGACUAAGCGUACACGGUGGAUGCCUUGGCAGUCAGAGGCGAUGAAAGACGUAGUAACUUGCGAUAAGCCCAGAUUAGGUAGUAACAACCAUUUGAGUCUGGGAUUUCUGAAUGGGGAAACCCACGUGCAUAAGCACGUAUCCUUACCUGAAUACAUAGGGUAAGGAGGCGAACCGGGGGAACUGAAACAUCUAAGUACCCCGAGGAAAAGAAAUCAACCGAGAUUCCGAAAGUAGCGGCGAGCGAAAUUGGACUAGCCCUUAAGCUUUACACGCGUUAGACGAACGGUCUGGAAAGUCCGACGAUACAGGGUGAUAGUCCCGUAGUUGACGACGUGUGUUCAGUGAAAUCGAGUAGGGCGGGACACGUGAUAUCCUGUCUGAAUAUGGGGGGACCAUCCUCCAAGGCUAAAUACUACUGACUGACCGAUAGUGAACCAGUACCGUGAGGGAAAGGCGAAAAGAACCCCUGUGAGGGGAGUGAAAUAGAACCUGAAACCGUGUACGUACAAGCAGUAGGAGCAGGCUUUGUCCUGUGACUGCGUACCUUUUGUAUAAUGGGUCAGCGACUUAUAUUCAGUGGCAAGGUUAACCAUCUAGGGGAGCCGUAGGGAAACCGAGUCUUAACUGGGCGUUCAGUCUCUGGAUAUAGACCCGAAACCAGGUGAUCUAGCCAUGGGCAGGUUGAAGGUUGAGUAACAUCAACUGGAGGACCGAACCGACUAAUGUUGAAAAAUUAGCGGAUGACUUGUGGCUAGGGGUGAAAGGCCAAUCAAACCUGGAGAUAGCUGGUUCUCCCCGAAAGCUAUUUAGGUAGCGCCUCGGACGAAUACUACUGGGGGUAGAGCACUGUUAAGGCUAGGGGGUCAUCCCGACUUACCAACCCUUUGCAAACUCCGAAUACCAGUAAGUACUAUCCGGGAGACACACGGCGGGUGCUAACGUCCGUCGUGGAGAGGGAAACAACCCAGACCGCCAGCUAAGGUCCCAAAUUACUACUAAGUGGGAAACGAUGUGGGAAGGCUCAGACAGCCAGGAUGUUGGCUUAGAAGCAGCCAUCAUUUAAAGAAAGCGUAAUAGCUCACUGGUCGAGUCGGCCUGCGCGGAAGAUGUAACGGGGCUAAGUAGUAAACCGAAGCUGCGGCAAUGUGCUUUUGCACAUUGGGUAGGGGAGCGUUCUGUAAGCGGUUGAAGGUGUGUGGUAACGCAUGCUGGACGUAUCAGAAGUGCGAAUGCUGACAUGAGUAACGAUAAAGGGGGUGAAAAACCUCCUCGCCGGAAGACCAAGGGUUCCUGUCCAACGUUAAUCGGGGCAGGGUAAGUCGACCCCUAAGGCGAGGCCGAAAGGCGUAGUCGAUGGGAAACGGGUUAAUAUUCCCGUACUUCUUACAAUUGCGAUGGGGGGACGGAGAAGGCUAGGUGGGCCUGGCGACGGUUGUCCAGGUUCAAGUGCGUAGGCUUGAGAGUUAGGUAAAUCCGGCUCUUUUUAAGGCUGAGACACGACGUCGAGCACCUACGGGUGUGAAGUCAUUGAUGCCAUGCUUCCAGGAAAAGCCUCUAAGCUUCAGAUUGUAAGGAAUCGUACCCCAAACCGACACAGGUGGUCGGGUAGAGAAUACCAAGGCGCUUGAGAGAACUCGGGUGAAGGAACUAGGCAAAAUGGUACCGUAACUUCGGGAGAAGGUACGCUCUUGAUGGUGAAGUCCCUUGCGGAUGGAGCUGACGAGAGUCGCAGAUACCAGGUGGCUGCAACUGUUUAUUAAAAACACAGCACUGUGCAAAAUCGUAAGAUGACGUAUACGGUGUGACGCCUGCCCGGUGCCGGAAGGUUAAUUGAUGGGGUUAGACUUCGGUCGAAGCUCUUGAUCGAAGCCCCGGUAAACGGCGGCCGUAACUAUAACGGUCCUAAGGUAGCGAAAUUCCUUGUCGGGUAAGUUCCGACCUGCACGAAUGGCGUAAUGAUGGCCACGCUGUCUCCACCCGAGACUCAGUGAAAUUGAAAUCGCUGUGAAGAUGCAGUGUACCCGCGGCUAGACGGAAAGACCCCGUGAACCUUUACUACAGCUUGGCACUGAACAUUGACCCUACAUGUGUAGGAUAGGUGGGAGGCUUUGAAGCAGGUACGCCAGUAUCUGUGGAGCCGUCCUUGAAAUACCACCCUUGUAGUGUUGAUGUUCUAACGUCGACCCCUUAUCGGGGGUGCGGACAGUGCCUGGUGGGUAGUUUGACUGGGGCGGUCUCCUCCCAAAGAGUAACGGAGGAGCACGAAGGUGGGCUAAUCACGGUUGGACAUCGUGAGGUUAGUGCAAUGGCAUAAGCCCGCUUGACUGCGAGAAUGACAAUUCGAGCAGGUGCGAAAGCAGGUCAUAGUGAUCCGGUGGUUCUGAAUGGAAGGGCCAUCGCUCAACGGAUAAAAGGUACUCCGGGGAUAACAGGCUGAUACCGCCCAAGAGUUCAUAUCGACGGCGGUGUUUGGCACCUCGAUGUCGGCUCAUCACAUCCUGGGGCUGAAGUCGGUCCCAAGGGUAUGGCUGUUCGCCAUUUAAAGUGGUACGCGAGCUGGGUUUAGAACGUCGUGAGACAGUUCGGUCCCUAUCUGCCGUGGGCGUUGGAAGAUUGAAGGGGGCUGCUCCUAGUACGAGAGGACCGGAGUGGACGAACCUCUGGUGUUCGGGUUGUGUCGCCAGACGCAUUGCCCGGUAGCUAAGUUCGGAAUCGAUAACCGCUGAAAGCAUCUAAGCGGGAAGCGAGCCCUGAGAUGAGUCUUCCCUGAUACUUUAAGUAUCCUAAAGGGUUGUCGGAGACUACGACGUUGAUAGGUCAGGUGUGUAAGUGCUGUGAGGCAUUGAGCUAACUGAUACUAAUUGCCCGUGAGGCUUAACCAUACAACACCCAAGGGGUUU